rnacentral:rRNA from 1 species
CGUGCAGUCGAACGCAGUAGCAAUACUGAGUGGCAGACGGGUGAGUAUAAUGUGGGAAUAUGCCUUUUGGUUUGGAAUAACUCGGGGAAACUUGAGCUAAUACCGAAUAAGCCCUUACGGGGAAAGAUUCAUCGCCGAAAGAUUAGCCCGCACUUGAUUAGCUUGUUGGUGAGGUAAAAGCUCACCAAGGCAACGAUCAAUAGCUGUUCUUAGAGGAAGACCAGCCACAUUGGGACUGAGACACGGCCCAGACUCCUACGGGAGGCAGCAGUAGGGAAUCUUGCACAAUGGGGGGAACCCUGAUGCAGCGAUGCCGCGUGAGUGAAGAAGGCCUUUGGGUUGUAAAACUCUUUCGUCGGGGAAGAAAAUGACUGUACCCGAAUAAGAAGGUCCGGCUAACUUCGUGCCAGCAGCCGCGGUAAUACGAAGGGAUCUAGCGUAGUUCGGAAUUACUGGGCUUAAAGAGCUCGUAGGUGGUUAAAAAAGUUGGUGGUGAAAUCCCAAGGCUCAACCUUGGAACUGCCAUCAAAACUUUUUAGCUUGAGUGUGAUAGAGGAAAGUGGAAUUUCUAGUGUAGAGGUGAAAUUCGUAGAUAUUAGAAAGAACACCAAAAGCGAAGGCAACUUUCUGGAUCACUACUGACACUGAGGAGCGAAAGCAUGGGUAGCGAA